AUGCAACGACUCGGUUUCCCACCACGGUGGAGAGAUUGGGUGGCGUUGCUCCUCUCCUCGGCUUCCUCAACCUGUCUCCUCAACGGCGCGGAGGGAGCCAUCAUCCAGCACCAGCGUGGCUUACGGCAAGGCGACCCGCUGUCCCCUUUCCUCUUUAUCCUCGUGAUAGAUCCUCUUCACCGCCUGAUCGCCGCGGCCACGCGAGCCGGCGCCCUCGCCCCGCUCCCAACGGGUGUGGUGGGGCUGCGGGUUAGCUUAUAUGUGGAUGACGCUGUCGUUUUCGUCAACCCAAGUAGACAGGAUGUGGAUGGGCUCAUGGAGCUGUUGCAGGGUUUUGGCAAAGCGACGGGGCUGAACCUGAACCAGGCGAAAUCGACCGUGGCACCCAUCAGGUGCUCUGGCAUCGACCUGCAGCACGUUUUGUAG
rnacentral:rRNA from 1 species